rnacentral:rRNA from 1 species
AUUGAACGCUGGCGGCAUGCCUUACACAUGCAAGUCGAACGGUAACAGGUCUUCGGAUGCUGACGAGUGGCGAACGGGUGAGUAAUACAUCGGAACGUGCCUAGUAGUGGGGGAUAACUACUCGAAAGAGUGGCUAAUACCGCAUGAGAUCUACGGAUGAAAGCAGGGGAUCGCAAGACCUUGUGCUACUAGAGCGGCCGAUGGCAGAUUAGGUAGUUGGUGGGAUAAGAGCUUACCAAGCCGACGAUCUGUAGCUGGUCUGAGAGGACGAUCAGCCACACUGGGACUGAGACACGGCCCAGACUCCUACGGGAGGCAGCAGUGGGGAAUUUUGGACAAUGGGCGAGAGCCUGAUCCAGCAAUGCCGCGUGCAGGAUGAAGGCCUUCGGGUUGUAAACUGCUUUUGUACGGAACGAAAAGCCCCGGGUUAAUACCCUGGGGUCAUGACGGUACCGUAAGAAUAAGCACCGGCUAAUUACGUGCCAGCCGCCGCCGUAA